rnacentral:rRNA from 1 species
GACGAACGCUGGCGGCGUGCCUAAUACAUGCAAGUAGGACGCAGUUGCGAACGGGUGAGUAACGCGUAGGUAACUACCUAUUAGAGGGGGAUAACUAUUGGAAACGAUAGCGCAUACCGCAUACUAGUAGAUGGACCUGCGUUGUGUUAGCUAGGAGGUAGGGUAAUGGCCUACCUAGGCAACGAAACAUAUCCGACCUGGGAGGGUGGUCCGCCAACCUGGGAACUGGACACGGGCCAGAACCCGACGGGAGGCAGCCGUAGGGAAGUUUUGGCAAAGGGGGGAACGCCUACUGCGCACAGGCGCGGGAGUGAAGAAGGUUUUCGGAGCGUAAAGGUCUGUUGUUAAGGAAGCGGUACUUAACCAAAAAGGGACGGCUAACUACGUGCCAGCAGCCGCGGUAAUAC